rnacentral:rRNA from 1 species
AGCGAACGCUGGCGGCAGGCUUAACACAUGCAAGUCGAGCGGGCACUUUCGGGUGUCAGCGGCGGACGGGUGCGUAACGCGUGGGAACGUGCCCUCUGGUUCGGAAUAACUCAGGGAAACUUGAGCUAAUACCGGAUACGCCCUUUUGGGGAAAGGCUUGCUGCCGGAGGAUCGGCCCGCGUCUGAUUAGCUAGUUGGUGAGGUAACGGCUCACCAAGGCGACGAUCAGUAGCUGGUCUGGGAGGAUGAUCAGCCACACUGGGACUGAGACACGGCCCAGACUCCUACGGGAGGCAGCAGUGGGGAAUAUUGGACAAUGGGCGCAAGCCUGAUCCAGCCAUGCCGCGUGAGUGAUGAAGGCCUUAGGGUUGUAAAGCUCUUUUAUCCGGGACGAUAAUGACGGUACCGGAGGAAUAAGCCCCGGCUAACUUCGUG